rnacentral:lncRNA from 1 species
AUAGGAAGAAAAAAAAAAAAACAAGAAAGAGCGAGGAGACAAUUUAUAAACACCCAGCGGAGCGCAGAUUUAUUAGAGAAACUCAAGUUGAGGAGAAACUCCGCUUACCUCCUUGCACUAAGUCCUGGUGGGGGAGAGGAGAGGCUGCAGCUGGGGUGAUUUUGAGGGGGUGGGAGUAUCUAUUGCGAGCCCAGCCCAGCCCUGGACUCAUACAAAGGCUCCAGAGCCUGCGCCCGUGCGAAGCCGCCCUGCCGGCUUUGGGCAUCUCCGAAUCCCCACAAAAGCUAAGGCUCCAUUCCCCCACACACACAAACUGGGGGGUCUCGGGCUGGCUUACGUGAUUUUCUCUCCAGCCGAUGGGCAGCUUCCUCUCCAUCCUACCUUCUUUUGCCGGCUAGCCCCUCUCACCUGACCUGCUGACCCGCAUCCAAGGACAUUCAUUUCGCCUCCUUUCACGGAAAAUCUCGUUGUUUCGAAUCAAUUCUCCUUUUGGAUUUGGACCCAUUAUUCCUAUUAUUACUAUUAUUCCCCGUUUUCACGCAUUUGUUGCCCCACCGAACACAGCAACUGGGUGAGAAUCACUGAGCCCUCCUCUUGGGGAAAAUUCAGAAAAUUGACCAUUUGAGGAAACGGGGGAACACUACUAUAACUGAAAUCUAUAAAAUGGGGGUAAGGCCAUAACGAGCCCUAUUUUUUUUAUUAGGUACAAAUUAUUCAUGACUUUUGGUAGCACUCAGUUCCUGGAUUCAGGGCCGACCAAGGCGCGGUGCCGGGAGCAGACAUAAGCAGCUGCCGCUCCAGGGAGUUUCACAUGGAGCAAGGGUGCCAUCUAGCGGCUGCUCUGCGAAAAGGCGCCGCAGCCACCGGCUCCACCAGUUUUCUGGGACAGCAGCCGCAGAGGUGGCCAGCAGGAGAAACUUUCAUAACUAGCAGUAAAAGGGGAGG